rnacentral:rRNA from 1 species
UAAGGAAUAUUGGGCAAUGGGCGGAAGCCUGACCCAGCCAUGCCGCGUGAAGGAAGGCGGCCUUAUGGGUUGUAAACUUCUUUUGACAGGGGAUAAAAGGUUCCAUGCGUGGGAUUUUGCAGGUACCUGUAGAAUAAGCAUCGGCUAACUCCGUGCCAGCAGCCGCGGUAAUACGGAGGAUGCGAGCGUUAUCCGGAUUUAUUGGGUUUAAAGGGUGCGCAGGCGGGCGAUUAAGUCAGCGGUGAAAUUUUCCGGCUCAACCGGGGCACUGCCGUUGAUACUGGUUGUCUUGAGUAUGAUAGAGGUGGGUGGAAUGUAGCGUGUAGCGGUGAAAUGCAUAGAUAUGCUACAGAACUCCGAUAGCCAAGGCAGCUCACCAAGUCAUAACUGACGCUCAUGCACGAAAGCGUGGGGAUCAAACA